UUUAUCUAUAAAUUAAUUUAUCUAUGAAUGUUUCCCAACCGUUCGGCAGUCAUUUCAUGCACGGAGUCAGAAUAGGUGAUUAGGAAGCACGAAAAUGCACUCAACUUCAAUACAGCCAUUUGGAGCCGUCAAAUCAACUGCUACGGCAUCCCAGCCUCGCAUAUACACACAUGCAAAUAUGUAAAGACAGCACUACGGUUUCAGAUGAUAAACGCUUAUGUAUGGUACAUGUAAAACGGGAAAUUCAUGCCCUGUAAGGAAAUCUAACUUUCAUU